rnacentral:tRNA from 1 species
ACCUACAUGCAGCAAGAUAAGCUAAAACGAGCUACUGGUCCUGCCCAAAAAUGAAGAUUAAACCCUUCUCUUUCUUC